rnacentral:other from 1 species
UGUUACCUGCGGUGAUUGUAAUAAGGCUUCAGUCUCUUGACCUUAAUUUAUAUUGCUAGGGGGUGGAUGUGAAAUGGUGUGCACGCCAUGUAUUUUGGAAGCCUAAGUUUCACACUUGUCUGCUUUCCACUUGAACAUACCCGUUCAAGAGCAUAUUGCCACAUACAUCAGUUGCGGGGCAACC